rnacentral:rRNA from 1 species
CCUACGGGAGGCAGCAGUGAGGAAUAUUGGUCAAUGGCCGAGAGGCUGAACCAGCCAAGUCGCGUGAGGGAAGACGGCCCUACGGGUUGUAAGCUGCUUUUAUACGGGAAUAACGCGCCUUACGUGUAGGGCUUUGCAUGUACCGUAUGAAUAAGGACCGGCUAAUUCCGUGCCAGCAGCCGCGGUAAUACGGAAGGUCCGGGCGUUAUCCGGAUUUAUUGGGUUGAAAGGGAGCGUAGGCCGCAUGUCAAGCGUGCUGUGAAAUGUCCGGGCUCAACCCGGGCCUUGCAGCGCGAACUGGCGUGCUUGAGUCCGCGGAAAGCAGGCGGAAUUCGUCGUGUAGCGGUGAAAUGCUUAGAUAUGACGAAGAACCCCGAUUGCGAAGGCAGCUUGCUGCAGCGGAACUGACGCUGAUGCUCGAAAGCGCGGGUAUCGAACAGGAUUAGAUACCCCUGUAGUC